rnacentral:rRNA from 1 species
GAUGCAAACUGCGAAUACCGGAGAAUGUUAUCACGGGAGACACACGGCGGGUGCUAACGUCCGUCGUGAAGAGGGAAACAACCCAGACCGCCAGCUAAGGUCCCAAAGUCAUGGUUAAGUGGGAAACGAUGUGGGAAGGCCCAGACAGCCAGGAUGUUGGCUUAGAAGCAGCCAUCAUUUAAAGAAAGCGUAAUAGCUCACUGGUCGAGUCGGCCUGCGCGGAAGAUGUAACGGGGCUAAACCAUGCACCGAAGCUGCGGCAGCGACGCUUAUGCGUUGUUGGGUAGGGGAGCGUUCUGUAAGCCUGCGAAGGUGUGCUGUGAGGCAUGCUGGAGGUAUCAGAAGUGCGAAUGCUGACAUAAGUAACGAUAAAGCGGGUGAAAAGCCCGCUCGCCGGAAGACCAAGGGUUCCUGUCCAACGUUAAUCGGGGCAGGGUGAGUCGACCCCUAAGGCGAGGCCGAAAGGCGUAGUCGAUGGGAAACAGGUUAAUAUUCCUGUACUUGGUGUUACUGCGAAGGGGGGACGGAGAAGGCUAUGUUGGCCGGGCGACGGUUGUCCCGGUUUAAGCGUGUAGGCUGGUUUUCCAGGCAAAUCCGGAAAAUCAAGGCUGAGGCGUGAUGACGAGGCACUACGGUGCUGAAGCAACAAAUGCCCUGCUUCCAGGAAAAGCCUCUAAGCAUCAGGUAACAUCAAAUCGUACCCCAAACCGACACAGGUGGUCAGGUAGAGAAUACCAAGGCGCUUGAGAGAACUCGGGUGAAGGAACUAGGCAAAAUGGUGCCGUAACUUCGGGAGAAGGCACGCUGAUAUGUAGGUGAAGUCCCUUGCGGAUGGAGCUGAAAUCAGUCGAAGAUACCAGCUGGCUGCAACUGUUUAUUAAAAACACAGCACUGUGCAAACACGAAAGUGGACGUAUACGGUGUGACGCCUGCCCGGUGCCGGAAGGUUAAUUGAUGGGGUCAGCGCAAGCGAAGCUCUUGAUCGAAGCCCCGGUAAACGGCGGCCGUAACUAUAACGGUCCUAAGGUAGCGAAAUUCCUUGUCGGGUAAGUUCCGACCUGCACGAAUGGCGUAAUGAUGGCCAGGCUGUCUCCACCCGAGACUCAGUGAAAUUGAACUCGCUGUGAAGAUGCAGUGUACCCGCGGCAAGACGGAAAGACCCCGUGAACCUUUACUAUAGCUUGACACUGAACAUUGAGCCUUGAUGUGUAGGAUAGGUGGGAGGCUUUGAAGUGUGGACGCCAGUCUGCAUGGAGCCGGCCUUGAAAUACCACCCUUUAAUGUUUGAUGUUCUAACGUGGACCCGUGAUCCGGGUUGCGGACAGUGUCUGGUGGGUAGUUUGACUGGGGCGGUCUCCUCCUAAAGAGUAACGGAGGAGCACGAAGGUUGGCUAAUCCUGGUCGGACAUCAGGAGGUUAGUGCAAUGGCAUAAGCCAGCUUGACUGCGAGCGUGACGGCGCGAGCAGGUGCGAAAGCAGGUCAUAGUGAUCCGGUGGUUCUGAAUGGAAGGGCCAUCGCUCAACGGAUAAAAGGUACUCCGGGGAUAACAGGCUGAUACCGCCCAAGAGUUCAUAUCGACGGCGGUGUUUGGCACCUCGAUGUCGGCUCAUCACAUCCUGGGGCUGAAGUAGGUCCCAAGGGUAUGGCUGUUCGCCAUUUAAAG